rnacentral:rRNA from 1 species
UACGUAGGCAGCGAGCGUUGUUCGGAGUUACUGGGCGUAAAGAGUGCGUAGGCGGUUUUCUAAGUUUGGUGUGAAAUCUCCCGGCUUAACUGGGAGGGUCAUUCGAUACUGUUCGACUCGAAGGCAGGAGAGGGAAGUGGAAUUCCGGGUGUAGCGGUGAAAUGCGUAGAUAUCCGGAGGAACACCAGUGGCGAAGGCGACUUUCUGGCCUGUUCUUGACGCUGAGGCGCGAAAGCUAGGGGAGCAAACGGG